rnacentral:rRNA from 1 species
UGCAUUAGCUAGUUGGUGAGGUAACGGCUCACCAAGGCGACGAUGCAUAGCCGACCUGAGAGGGUGAUCGGCCACAUUGGGACUGAGACACGGCCCAAACUCCUACGGGAGGCAGCAGUAGGGAAUCUUCGGCAAUGGACGAAAGUCUGACCGAGCAACGCCGCGUGAGUGAAGAAGGUUUUCGGAUCGUAAAACUCUGUUGUUAGAGAAGAACAAGGAUGAGAGUAACUGUUCAUCCCUUGACGGUAUCUAACCAGAAAGCCACGGCUAACUACGUGCCAGCAGCCGCGGUAAUACGUAGGUGGCAAGCGUUGUCCGGAUUUAUUGGGCGUAAAGCGAGCGCAGGCGGUUUCUUAAGUCUGAUGUGAAAGCCCCCGGCUCAACCGGGGAGGGUCAUUGGAAACUGGGAGACUUGAGUGCAGAAGAGGAGAGUGGAAUUCCAUGUGUAGCGGUGAAAUGCGUAGAUAUAUGGAGGAACACCAGUGGCGAAGGCGGCUCUCUGGUCUGUAACUGACGCUGAGGCUCGAAAGCGUGGGGAG